GAAGAAGAAAGUCAGUAAGUCACAAUCCAUCCCCUUCAUCUAUACUUGGUUGGUGUUGUCUCCUCUCUAGUUAUUUGUUAUUUAUCACUCACUUCACUUAUCUCUCAAAAAUCAAACACGCAUUAAGACACUGUGCAGUAGGCCAGCAAUAGCAUGUUAAAAUUCUGUGUUUGUUGUGUGAAUAAGAGGAAUGGAUGUUAAGGUGAAGAAAACACAACAGAGCGAAGAAGACAUCAGAAAAGGUCCAUGGAGCGUUGAAGAGGACACCAUUCUCGUGAAUUAUGUCGCCACCCACGGCCACGGUCGCUGGAACUCCCUCGCUCGCUGCGCAGGGUUGAAGAGAUCGGGGAAAAGUUGCAGGCUAAGAUGGCUAAACUACUUGCGUCCUGAUGUUCGUCGCGGAAAUAUAACACUCCAAGAACAGAUAACCAUUCUCGACCUCCACUCUCGUUGGGGCAACAGGUGGUCGAAAAUUGCACGGCACCUUCCCGGGAGAACAGACAACGAAAUAAAGAAUUAUUGGAGGACCCGAGUGAUUAAGCAAGCAAAGAACCUUAACUGUGACGUGGAUAGUAAACAGUUCAAAGAUGUCCUGCGUUACGAUUGGAUGCCCCGUUUGAUUGAGCGGAUGCACCCACCAUCGCAAACUUUCGCCCCGGCCCAUACUGCCCCAGACCCUGCUGCUCUGGCCCACGCUUCCGCUUCCACUGCCUUGGACUCACCAUGCGCCGAGUUUCAGGGUCGUUUAGAUUCUCAACAUUUCGAUUAUAGUGAAAGUUUCAAUUUCAAUGACCCAAUGUUGGAACAGGGGAAUAGCAUGUUACCCUUGGGUUGGGUGGUUGGGACUUGAUGGAGAGUUUGUGGGAGGAUGAGAAUAUGUGGCUUAUGCGACAACUUUGUCAUGAUCUGGAAAUUUAAAGACAAUUUCCUUGCGUUGCGUGACGCAUAUUUGGUGGCUUUCAUGUGCAAAGAUCCUACUCCUACUCCUAGAGCCGUUGCUACUUGUAAAAUGCAUGCGCUUUGUCUUUCCCUUUAGCUAAUAAAAGCUACACCAACCUUCAUACAUGAGAGGAAGAUUUCGAACUAUAUAAGAUAUUGGACUUGGUUAGGUAAUUGUUGCCGGUUUUGGACUGACCGUGAAAUAUAAUACUCAAGUCCUCUACACUAAGGAUUCGUAUGAUAUCCUUCUUUGUUAGAACAUUACCCCUCAAAGGUUUUAUUAUUGUUUUUAAGUGCGACAGCAAAAAUAUAAAGUUUAUGACUGUUGUCUAUCGCUCUUGAAAAGGAGUAGGGAGUAUUUGUUUAUCAAGUGAAAUGACAGAUUUAAAAACCCAAACACUACCAGUCUACUACAAACAUGGUGAAAUGCUUGGAUCACCUUGACCACAAGGUCCACAACCCUCAGUUGCUUCUACACAAGUUAAGCUUUAACAUGGAAAAAGAAGAGUAAAGGAAGCAAGACUUGUGUGUUCAACGGACACGAAGUUACACGGGUUCCUUCCAAUAUAUGAAAAACAUGUGUGUUAAUACGUUCUAUUCGGAUAGUUGGUCCUUUAUUUUCUUUUCUUGUUUUUAAACGUUAUUUUUGUGCUUAGCUUCAUAUUUAGUAAAUGUAAUACGGCGGG